rnacentral:lncRNA from 1 species
CUUUGAUUUCCACUUACAGUGAUCAUGUUAUAACGAUUAGAAAAUUAAUAAUUCAUAAGGUUAUCUAUAAAGUAUUCAAAGCUUUAUUAAAUGUACAUAUUUGUUUAAAGGUAGCGAUUGAUAUGUUCAAUAUUGAUUGUUGACCGGAUUACACGAAAUAUUGCUGAUUCCAAGAAGUGGGUGUAAUAAAAAAAAAAAAGAACACAAUAAAAUAAAUUAAACAACCUG